GCAUCUAUACUGUGAAACUGCGAAUGGCUCAUUAAAUCAGUUAUCGUUUAUUUGAUAGUACCUUACUACUUGGAUAACCGUGGUAAUUCUAGAGCUAAUACAUGCUAAAAACCCCGACUUCGGGAGGGGUGUAUUUAUUAGAUAAAAAACCAAUGCCCUUCGGGGCUCUUUGGUGAUUCAUGAUAACUUAACGAAUCGCAUGGCCUUGCGCCGGCGAUGGUUCAUUCAAAUUUCUGCCCUAUUAACUUUCGAUGGUAGGAUAGAGGCCUACCAUGGUAUCAAUGGGUAACGGGGAAUUAGGGUUCUAUUCCGGAGAGGGAGCCUGAGAAACGGCUACCACAUCCAAGGAAGGCAGCAGGCGCGCAAAUUACCCAAUCCCGACACGGGGAGGUAGUGACAAUAAAUACUGAUACAGGGCUCUUUUGGGUCUUGUAAUUGGAAUGAGUACAAUUUAAAUACCUUAACGAGGAACAAUUGGAGGGCAAGUCUGGUGCCAGCAGCCGCGGUAAUUCCAGCUCCAAUAGCGUAUAUUAAAGUUGUUGCAGUUAAAAAGCUCGUAGUUGAACCUUGGGCCUGGCUGGCCGGUCCGCCUCACCGCGUGUACUGGUCCGGCCGGGCCUUUCCUUCUGGGGAUCCGCAUGGCCUUCACUGGCUGUGUCGGGGAACCAGGACUUUUACUUUGAAAAAAUUAGAGUGUUCAAAGCAGGCCUUUGCUCGAAUACAUUAGCAUGGAAUAAUAGAAUAGGACGUGCGGUCCUAUUUUGUUGGUUUCUAGGACCGCCGUAAUGAUUAAUAGGGAUAGUCGGGGGCAUCAGUAUUCAAUUGUCAGAGGUGAAAUUCUUGGAUUUAUUGAAGACUAACUACUGCGAAAGCAUUUGCCAAGGAUGUUUUCAUUAAUCAGUGAACGAAAGUUAGGGGAUCGAAGACGAUCAGAUACCGUCGUAGUCUUAACCGUAAACUAUGCCGACUAGGGAUCGGGCGAUGUUAUUCUUUUGACUCGCUCGGCACCUUACGAGAAAUCAAAGU
rnacentral:rRNA from 1 species